CCUCCCCGCCCCCUCCCUUUCCUGUACCCUCCACUCCUCGUCCCAUCGCCUCCCCUCUCCACAUCUCCCCUCCCCUCUUCGCCCCUCCCCUCUUCGCCCCUCCCCUCCGCUCCCCGCCCUCUCCCCCUCUCGCCCGCUCCCCCGUACCCUCCCUCCUCGUCCCAUCCCUUCCCCUCCCCGCCUCUCCCCUCCGCUCCCCGCCCCUUCUCCCUCCCCCUCGCCCCCUCCCCUCCCCUUCCCUCCCCUCCCCUACGCGGCGGCCGAGGCGGGUCCGAGGGGCGUGGGCCCGGCGCCGGCUCCCGGGAGGCGGGGAUCGCGGGGGCGCCCUGCAGCUCCUCGGCUCGGGACCCCGGCCCGGGGCAGGCGGCGGCGCGCCCCUCGGGUGGGUGUGUCCGUGUCGCGCGGCCUCCGGCCCCGAGAGGCGCUUCCCCGCGGCUCCUCCGUCCCCACCGCCAGGCUCUGCACGCGGCCGUCCCGGAGCCGCGAGUGGAACGGGGGACGGGGGGGCUGCGGGGCCCGGCGGGGCCCGGGAGGGGGCGGGGAAGGGGCGCCCCGGGGCGGGGGGGGCAGGGGUGCGGCGGCGGGGGCCGCGCGGCGGCGACACCGGCCGGACCCGGGUCCCCAGCGCGCGGUGACGCUCCUGGAAGCCCGCCCCCGCCCCCGCCUCGCCGGCGCUCGGGCGGGUGCUUCCCCGGGUCCGGCUGGAGCCGCGCUGAAAACUUUUCCCCGCAGCCCCCGGGGCCCUUUUGUCUUCCUCGCGGGCGGCGACGACCCCGCGGCCGCUGACCUCCAGGGCACAGGCGCCCGCGCUCCCAGCGCUCCGUGGCGCACCCCCACCCCCCCACCCCGCCCAGGUAGGGCGCCCGGGUCACCGCCCCCGGACCCCGAGCCCGGACCCCGGACCCCCGCCGACCCCGGACCCGGACCCCGGAUCCGGACCCCCGCCCCCGCCCCGAUCCCGGACCCGGGACCCCCUCCCCCUCCGGACCCCGGACCCCGGACCUGGACGCCCUCCCCCCUGGACCCCGCCCCCCGGCCCCCUUCCCCUCCCCCCCGUCCCCGCCGCCCCCGCCGCCCGCCCCCUCGCCUGACUCAUCGGGCCGCGGUGGCCGCGCCGGGGCGGGAGGGAGCCGGCGGCUCCGAGAUUCCCGCGGACGCCCCCCCCCCCGCCCCGCCCCGCCCCCGCCCGCCUCCCGAGGCGCCCGACGCCCCGACUGCUCCCGCGCUGACCGUCCCGGGAGGGAGCCCGCCGGAGCCCCGCGGCCGCGCGCCCCGCACAGGCUGGGAAAGCCUUCAGUGAAAGAGGGAGUUGUCGCGUGGGAAGUCUUUGUGUGUGGCUUCCAGGCCGUCGGUGCGGAGAGGAGUUCCCUGUUGCAUCUGAGUCGGGUCCAGGUAAGUGCCAUGUGGUCUCCCAAAGGCAGCACCCGUAAUCGGAAGGGAUUCUUCAGGAAGGACCGUUGUGAGGAAGGAUGGCUGCACUUAUUUUAACUUACAAGAAUUUUUAGGGAAGCUUUUGAAAGCUCCAAGAGCUACAUUGCUAUAGUCGGAUGUGUGUGCUUUCAGAAUUUUGACAACGGCUCACUCGGCAGAGGAAGAUAACUACCGACACGUACGGGGAGCGAAUCUGAGCUGAUUGUUUAACUGUUCAUUCCCCUGAAGAUUCUCAGCCUAAAGGCAAAGAAAUGCAUACUCAGCUCAGGAAAAUAGAGGAGAAGGAGGAUAAAAGCAGAUGUCACCUUUUACAUUUCUUAAGCAGAAUUAGUAGAGGAUGAAUUAAUAAGUCCUCAUAAUAAUGCACUUAUUAAACAGAAUAUAUAGCCUAAAAAGGGAAAGCGGUCUUAAAUUUCUUUAUUAUCUCUCUCCCUAAGUAGGAGACCGCAUGGGACCUCUUCCUUAAGCAAAGAGCAUUUGGAAAAAAAACAAAAACAACAACAACAACAAAAAAAAAAAACAGAACAAAAAAAGAAGCUUGUGUGGAGACCAAGAAAAUGAAUCUGCAGUGAGAUGGACCCUUUGUGUUAUGAAGGGAUAUAUGACCUGCAAUUUUCCUAAGUACAUCCGUUUCAGAGCUUAAGAGGUUUUGUCUGCUGAUAUAGAUGUGCUCCGGCUCUCGGAGAACACAGUGAGCACAUGUGGGGUGCCCUGCUAGCGGGGGGACUGCGAGGUCGCUGCUCCUAUAGGAACCUAGAGGCUGGGGGUGGUGCUGGAAAGUGUGCACAGAUCCUUCCAUACCUGGAUGCUCUUUGAGCAUUAGGGGCCUGGUGGGUUGCAAAGGACUCUGGAGGGAGGCUUGGAAAACCCACGUUGUCAUCUGACCAAGCCGCUGACUGAGUGGCCUCUGUGCCCCCUCAUCCCCUCAUGGACAGGUCGAGAGCUUUGGUCCAUGGUCUCUCUUUUCAAAGUGCUUCAUGAUGCGUUCUGGUGGAAUCGAGAGGGAGGAGUCAGAACGUGGUUUGGGAACGGUGCGGUUAGUAGAGUUGGGGUCAGGGGAAGACAGGCUGGAGGCCAUGCCGGACCUGGGGAAAGGGUAAUGGUGCUGACGCGAGGCAAAGGAGGCCUGGCCCAUCAUUGAUUAUCUGAGCUCAUGAAUAAAAUACAACUCUUGCUUAGUCCUGAAUGGUUUUUGGUGAAUUUUAACAAAUGACGGCGAUUGAUUUUUCACAACAUCGCUAAGAGUUAAUUAGGGCAGAACGGCGAUGAAGCUGGCACGCUCGCACCAGGAGCCCAUUAAGGCCAAGGAACACUGUUCUGCUCUACGCCCCGUUGCCUUUCUGCAGAAUUGUAGAGAAUAGGAGAAGCUAGAACGUACUUAGGAAACCCUGUGUUGGGAUCUCUGGGUGGCGCAGCGGUUUAGUGCCUGCCUUUGGCCCAAGGCGCGAUCCUGGAGACCUGGGAUCGAAUCCCACGUCGGGCUCCUGGUGCAUGGAGCCUGCUUCUCCCUCUGCCUAUGUCUCUGCCUCUCUCUCUCUCUGUGUGUGUGUGACUAUCAUAAAUAAAUUUAAAAAAAAAUAAAAAAAGGAAACCCUGUGUUCAUGGGUCCGAGAGAUAAGGCUGGUGUCCGAUUUUGGUGCAGGUUCACAUUUCUGCAUAAAACAUUUAGGUUGUGUUCUGGAAGGUAAGUCUCCAGUGAGGAGAUGGAGACCUCCCGGAAUGUUGUGAUUCGUAUCAUUGAUGUUUAGUCUGAUUAUUUCUGUGUGCUCCCUCCCCGCCUCACCCCCUCCCCUUCCCCAGCAGGAAUUCUAGAGGUUUGACUAUGACUGCGUCAUUGUGAGCUUUGAUGCUCACAAGGGCUUUGAGUGCAGCUGGGAAAGGAAAUUCUCCUAUAAAGGUGGGGUUUGGGGGCUGUGCUACUGCUAAUGGGAUCUGUUGUAGCAGCAAGUUGUGCUGGGGUGAAAUUACACAGGAGUUGUGGGAAUGUGAGCAAGGUGUGAGGAUGAGGAUGUCUACAUCCCCUCCCGCUCUACCCUCCUCUCUGCCCGAAGCACCAAGGGUGGACGAGUUCCCUCCCGCCCCACCCCACCCCGUGUUCCUGGCCAAGCGAAUUGGUCAGGACUCACCUGAUUGUCUGUAUGAGGAACCUCUACUUAACUAUGUUAAGCAAAAAAGGACUUAUUGGCUCAUGUGACUGGAAGGUCCAACGGUAGACCUCGCUUGAGUCAUGGCGAGAACCCAGAGACUCACGAGGCUUUGUCGGGGUUCUUUCUCUCUCUCUCUCCUCGUUUCUAGCUCUUUUCUGUCUGGGUCAGCUUCAUCCCAUGUGCUGAGAAAGCUGACUUUCAAGCAGUUUGCAGCCUGAAUUCUUGGGCUUUUGAGCCAUAGAAAAGAGGUCUUGUCUUUUCCAUAGAAAAGAGGUCUUGUCUUCUUUCUAGAAUUUCUCUUCUAGAAAUUUCUUGGAAGGGCUCUGAUUGGCCCUGCCUUGGUGGCCGUUGAAUCCACCCGCGUCCGUGAGAGAGUAUGAUGGGGGCCGUCUAGCUGGGGGGCCUCCCGCUGUGUGCAUGGUGCUGGUGGUGGGGUGAGGACCUAGAGGCUGGUGGGGACACCACGAUGGACGCUCUUUGUUGAGAUCACAGAGAGGUGUGGUUCUCCGAAGCUGAUGAUGCCGAUGACCAAAAACGACAUGUCUGUUGUGGAGAAGAAUUGUCCCUUCCUGUUUCGGGACAGACCCCCCCUGAACAGUGAUGUGGAGUCUGCACAUGAAGGCAGCUCAGGCGCCCGUGACCGUGCAGAUUCCAAAAGUGCGACCCUCUUCCCAACCAAGGCAAAGCCCGGUGAUGAAGGAACACCCUCCAUGCCUAGACUUCACUGAAAGAGUCGUGCUUGCGGCCUAUCUCCAUUUAUCUAUAUCCACACACUUCCACUAAGUAUCGCCCUGCUUUAUCUGUAGCCUAGUGAGCUCACCCUCAGAAGCCCGGGGCGUCUAGGGAUCAUGAGGCUGGAGACCCCCUACUUCGGGCACUACAGCUGUAGCCAGGGCUUGAGUGGGAGAGAGAAGAGGCGCACACAACGCCAACGGGCGGGCGCUUCCCUGGGUCUAUGGGAGGCAGCCAGGGGAGGCCCACGUGGCGUUAUCACCUGGGGCUGACAGGUUAUCACGGGCGCCGACCCUCGCCAGGACCUCCCUCGUCCGCUGGUCCUCGUGGAGGCCGUGUGGGGCGAGGACCCUGGGGGUUAGGGGCACGCGGCUCCAGGUCUGUGGGCCGCCACCGGUGGGGGAGGUGUGCAGAGGGGCCGCUUUCUACUCGACACCCAAAGCAACGGGAGCUCCGGGGGGGGAUGGACUGGGGGGCUUGGGUGCUCAGUGGCGGGGCUGGAGGCCGCGGGUCCCUGGGGUGGGGUCUGCGGGGAGCAAGGAAGCUGUCCGAGGGGUGUGGGUGAGGGACCGGGGGCAGCUCAGAACAGGGCCCACCGCCUUGCCUCAGCCCCCCUCCUCCCUGGGAGGCCGCUCCUCCGGGGAGACCGGGUCCUGCUGGCUGUCAGGCGUUGUCAGGACACAGUGAAGAGCGGCCGCUCUGUGCCUCGGGGACGAGAUCUGCACCAAGUCCUCAUUACGGGGAAUAUUACGGCUUUUCUCCCUGUUUUCAGCCGGGAACUCGAGGCUCAGAAGGGCCAGAUGACCCUGGAGCCAGACUGGAGACAAGGCGCCGUCACGGAGCCCCGUUGUGCCUGCAUCCAGACCUGAUUCUGGGCCUUCGGGGAGCUGUCCAUGGGGCCAAGGCUGUGGGGAGUCAGCGGGGCGUGUGGCAGUGCAGGGAGCCUGGGAGCUCGCGCGUGUCGCCAGGGUGGGAAGGACUCGUGCAGCAUGAUGGAUCCGGAGCCGGGGAUGCAACCACCCAGCGGGGUUUCCCCUCUGCGGGAUCUGUCCCUAUGCAGGACACAGACGUCAGCAAGUCAGGUGUUUGGGGGGCUUCAUUUUAGGCCCUGAUUCCUGUUGCAGAGGAGGGACCUCUGCUGGCUGCCGUGGCCUGAGUUUACCUUUGUGCGGACAGACACUCUGCCCUGAAAUAUGAUGAACAGGUAUGGAGGGAGGGGGAGAGAAGGAGGGUGGGCGGGCAGGAGGGAGGCGCUCGCACAGGCUGAAUGGAGGAGGAACGUGGGUCACGCUGUGGCCAUAAGGGGCCGGCGCUUGACGAUGCUGCUUAAUGGAUGAACCUGCUGACCCGUGGAAUAUGAGCCACAUCGUGUCACUCCCAGCCGACGCAAUCACAGUCAUCUGCUCAGACACGUGACCAUACGUGUCGUCAUGUGCAUUGGACUGUGUGUGUGUGUGUGUACAGUAAGUGGAAAGCGGAUGUGAAGGUAGAUA
rnacentral:lncRNA from 1 species